AAUGAACGUUGGCGGCGUGGAUUAGGCAUGCAAGUCGAGCGAGAACUGGUAGCAAUACUGGGGAAAGCGGCGAAAGGGAGAGUAAUACGUAGGUACCUACCCUCGGGUCUGGGAUAGCUGCGGGAAACUGCAAUUAAUACCGGAUGACGUCUCUGGACCAAGGGUGUGAUUCCGCCAGGGGAUGGGCCUGCGUCCUAUUAGCUAGUUGGCGGGGUAAUGGCCCACCAAGGCUAAGAUGGGUACGGGGUGUGAGAGCAUGCCCCCGCUCACUGGGACGGAGACACUGCCCAGAGACCUACGGGUGGCUGCAGUCGGGGAUCUUCCGCAAUGGGCGCAAGCCUGACGGGGGGACGCCGCGUGCGGGAUGAAGGCCUUCGGGUUGUAAACCGCUGUCAGUGGGGAGCAAAUGCAUCAGGGUUCUCCCUGGUGUUUGAGCGAUCCGCAGAGGAAGCACAGGCUAAUUCCGUGCCAGCCGCCGCCGUAAGAC
rnacentral:rRNA from 1 species